rnacentral:tRNA from 1 species
UGGCUUAGUUGGUUAAGCAUUUGACUUCGGCUCAAGCCAUGAUCUCAUGUUUCAUGGGUUCGAGCCCCAU